UCCAACAUCCCGUGAGAUUCACUAUACCUCCCUCCUCCCUCUGCCACCCUCCAUCUAUCCAACAUCCCUCCAUCUAUAACAGACGACAUCCUGAAGGAGCUGUUUGCUGGGACUGGAUACACAGUCAAGGCCUUCAAGUUCUUCCAGUAGGACCGUAAGAUGGCUCUGAUCCAGUUGGGUUCAGUGGAGGAGGCCAUCCAGGCCCUGAUCGACCUCCACAACCACGACCUGGGAGAGAACCAUCACCUCCGCGUGUCCUUCUCCAAGAGCACCAUCUGACCCGCCUCACCCAGAUCCCCCAGCCCCCCCACA